UUCCUCGUGAACGCUUCAGGAGUGGCUAGCUGCUGAGCAACGUACUUUCGCCAAUAUCCACCUUCGCCCCUGAAGGUCGGAACUCCACUCUCUGCGGAGACGCCGGCGCCGGUUAAUACGGCAACCUUCUUGGCAUUUUUCAAAACGUCUUUAAAAGCCGCCUUAUCGGAAAUUGGUCUUCUGCUGCUCAUCGCUCCACUUAUGUAGUUACAAAUCUGUGAUACGGGACGUCCUGAAUGGAGAGGCCCUCAUCUUCCACACGGCCAGAGAGACCAUGACGGGGAAGACGACCAGCGCUGCGGUCAGCAGCCGGGAUGCCCCGCGGUCGUGCGGCCCCGGGAGACGCGCGGCAGGCCUGGGCUUCUCCCCUGCCUGCGCCAGCACACAGCCGAGUCUCACAGUUCAGCUCAACCACAACAUUUAAAAAAAAUCUCACGAAACUAUGCACAAAACGUAACACAUUUUCUUUCCCACGAGAGUGUAAGUCAUCGAAAUAAAUAAUUUUCAAAACCA